ensembl:lncRNA
GGUGUGUGAUUUGACCCAGAUACAAAACUAAUUAUAUACCCUUUGACAGGGGGUCCUGAUGAUUGCUUCAUGAUUUCUUCUCCAGAUUUGAGAUAUACAUCAAUAAAUGUGGCAUGACAGAAAAGAGUAAGAAUCACCUGGGAGUGAAAGAAAGAAAGAAAGAAAGAAAGAAAGAAAGAAAGAAAGAAAGAAAGAAAGAAAGAAAGAAAGAAAGAAAGAAAGAAAGAAAGAAAGAAAGAAAAGGCUAAUUUGAAAUUGAAGAUUUGCUAGCUUCUCUGGUUAUGGAUGAGACAAUAGUGACUAAUGCAAAGAUCUCUCUGUUGUUUUUUUAAUCAUUGCACAAAUAUUCAUCCUUUUAGAUCACAGCCACAAUUUAGAGAUCCCACACCCCCCCCAAAAAAGAAGAAGUUGUUUAGUUACUUUUAAUAACUCUUUGGGGAGUGAAAAUGUGGACAGUGGGGCAUAUUAGCUUUUGUGAAUCCCAUGGGAAUGCUUGUGCGUUUAAAUCUUAUUUUUUCUCUCUCUCUGUGCUCAGCCUGCUACAGCUGAAGCAGACAGAAUGGAGUUCUGCAUGCUUUCACAAAUGCCCAUCUACCUCAUGUUCCCAUUCCGUUGGUGCCAGCACCAUUGAUAUUUAGUGCCAGCCAUGGCAAUUUUUGACAUAUGUCCACUUGGAUCAAAAUUUGAACCUUUAAUAGCACUUCAAACAGAGAUUCAUGUGCCUUCAAUGGUGCCCUACUACAUCUAGUAGAGAAUGUCACAGGAUCUGGCAUUUUCUUCUAGGCCCAGCAAGCUCACUAAAAAUCUUGGCACACACAAUAUGGCUUCCUUGAGUCACAGUUGCUGCCAGAAUGUUCUUCACACCUUUCUUAUCAGGUACUGCAACUCCCUGAAUGCACCAGAUUUGAAAACAGCGUCUGUCAGAAGAUGAGGCUGCCAGACUCCCUAAGAUGUUGUAAUGAAGAAGAAAUUGGGUGGGCAGAAUGGAGAACAUAUCUUUCUUCCUCUGGAAACCUUGAAUCAAACCAUCCUCAGCCCUACAAACAAUGGCCUUUAAAAACAGUAUGUUUAAAUGGGCCCCUUAAGGAAUACAUUUCAGUAAUUAAGACAGGCUUGGGCCACUGCAACAUACACAUGGCAGUCCUAAAGACACACCGCAAGGAGAUUGUUGUCUGAAAACAUCAGAAGAGCAAGCAUACAGCAAAUGUUCCGGGCUAGAAAUCUGGACACCAAGCCUGCCUCUCACACAGACAAGGUAUCUGCAAGCAUCUUCUGCCAGGUACCUGUAAUCUGAUUUUCUAGAACAGUAGUGCUCUCCUUGUUAUUCACAGCUGUAAUCAUGUUGAAGCUGUCAAGUGUUGUCUCCACAUCUUCAAUUUACUUCUCAAACUAAAUCCCUCACUCCUUUGUAUGCCGAGGCUGCUGUGGCCUGGAACUCAUCUAGCCUUUUAGUAACAUCUUCCAGAUUUGUUUUAAACUGAUUAGACACUGCUGAAGAAUCAAAUUCUCUCCCCCGGAUAGUACAAAGCCAAGUGUUGACAGACCUGGCUCCUAGCCAUCAGCCACGUGAUGACGACACGCUGCAUCUUUUGACAGCCCGACUUUUGUACUGGCCUUCCUGAAUGCUCAUACGCCCUGAAAAAUGAAAAUAAAAUAAACUAUAGUGUGACGGGAUGAAGGGUG